AGCCAGAUAUUCCACAUUCUUUUAAUUCGCCCAAAAACAUGCGCUGGAUGGUAAGUCUGGGUCUUCCUCUUGUUCUCUUACCAUCAGGGGCCCAUGUAAGCGCAACAGAUGAAAUUUUUUCUUUGGGCAUUCUAAGGAUAUGUCCGAGCCAGCUCCAUCUUCGUUUAAAAGUUCUUUGUUAGCAUUAAAUUCAACAAGGUAUGUAUUUGUGUUAAAUCAAUCUAAGACUUUUUAAUUCAAUUUUAUCUCCAAUAUCUCAUUUCGUUUUUGAGAUAGAAAUGUUAACUCCAAGUUUUUUCAGCAUUUAGAUAUAGAGCUUUGCACAUUACCUCUUUGUUAUGUAUAGUCACUUUACAAUACAUAGACACCACUUUUGCUUCAGAGAGUCCCACAUCCUUAUAUAAUUCAGUCAGCAAUCCAGGUAGUAUCAAUGAUUUCACAUUGUAUUCAACACCAUCUUUGCCAAAUAUAUCAUUGGGGACACCUCCUGUACCUACAUCUGCUGAAAUUGGUAAAAGUGCUGUACCAGCUGGUUCUGAAGUACAGGAAAGAGAUAUUUCCACCAUAAGACUAGGAAUGCCUCUUGCAUCAAAUGUCUUACAGUCUUUAACAUAUUACCCAGCAUUACCGGGGGUGAUAUUAGAUAUGAAAAGGAUAAAAACGUAACGCAGAACAAGGGAUUACCAGCCACGUUAAGAGGGAAAUGGGAUUUUACAGUCUACAACGACAUAAAAACGAUUCUCGAAUGUACAUGGAGAUGACACCUAUGCACAAGCCAGAUUACACAGAACCAUUCAAAGACCUCUUGGGAGAACACAGUCAGCUCCACUACCUCUUGAUCAUCCAAUGCUACAAUCACAAGCCAUACUUUUAUCACCUCAACAAAAUGAACAAUAUGCUCGAGAAAAGAGACUCUGUGAGCAGCAGCAACAUAAUCUACUCAAACAAGUACCUACAUCAGGCAUCAUUUGGGAAGGCCUCUGUCUCGAACAUUAUCAAGUCCUCUUGUUGCUCUUAGUCCGAUUGGAAGACCUCAGGAAACGCAAGCUCAUUCUCCUCAUACAUUUACAACAGGUGUUUUGUACGACAGUUUAAUGUUAAAACAUCAAUGUGUUUGUGGUAACAAUGCUCAUCAUCCUGAACAUGGUGGUCGCCUACAAAGUACAUGGGCAAGGUUACAGGAAGCCAGUCUUCUUAAUAGAUGCGAGUGAUUCAGAUCCAGGAAAGAAACCCUAGAAGAAAUCCAGUCUUGUCAUAGUGAAUCAUAUACUCUCUUAUUUGAGGCCAAUCCUUUGAAUCGAUCGAAACUUGAUGCCAGCAAAUUAGCUGAUCUUCCAAUGAAGAAUUUUGUGAUGUUCCCUUGUGGUGGCAUUGGUGUAGAUUCUGACACAACUUGAAAUGAUCUACGCACAGCAAGUCCUGCAAGAAUGGCUACUGGAUGUGUUGUUGAAUUGGCCAUGAAAGUAGCAA